UACGGAAGGCAGCAGUGGGGAAUAUUGCACAAUGGGCGCAAGCCUGAUGCAGCCAUGCCGCGUGUAUGAAGAAGGCCUUCGGGUUGUAAAGUACUUUCAGCGGGGAGGAAGGCGAUGCGGUUAAUAACCGCGUCGAUUGACGUUACCCGCAGAAGAAGCACCGGCUAACUCCGUGCCAGCAGCCGCGGUAAUACGGAGGGUGCAAGUGUUAAUCGGAAUUACUGGGCGUAAAGCGCACGCAGGCGGUCUGUUAAGUCAGAUGUGAAAUCCCCGGGCUUAACCUGGGAACUGCAUUUUGAAACUGGCAGGCUUGAGUCUUGUAGAGGGGGUAGAAUUCCAGGUGUAGCGGUGAAAUGCGUAGAGAUCUGGAGGAAUACCGGUGGCGAAGGCGGCCCCUGGGACAAGACUGACGCUCAGGUGCGAAAGCGUGGGGAGCAAACAGGAUUAGGAUACC
rnacentral:rRNA from 1 species